rfam:Macrophomina phaseolina MS6 contig00753, whole genome shotgun sequence.
CUCUUAUUGGCUUAAUGGUAAAGCAGGAUACUUCUAGUAUCUAGAUCCAAGUUCGAGUCUUGGAUAAGAAU